ACAGGAAAGCAGCGGCGAGGGCGACGCGGGUUGGACGCACACACGCACACACACACACACACACACACACACACACACACACACACUCGCUGCACAGCGCGGCUGCAAGCGGCAGCUCAUCAAUCAAGAAGAGUGCACGUUAGGUAAUAUCUAUACAGCCUUGAGCACUAGGAGGUGGGGGGGGGGAGCGCUGGCGGUUGCGCACUCGCAAAGUUGUCAGAAUAAACACUGCAGCGAAGCAAAACUGCCUUCUCCUGUUUAGAUUGCCUGGACUUUCCAGCUUAUGUGAUCUGACGCCUGUUGUUAUAGCUGAGCUCUGAACAGUGACUGGAUGUUUGCUCAACGGACUGAGGAAACUGGAUGCAGCUUUCCAUGUGGAGCCGUAAGCGACCUCUGUUGCGUGAAUAUGAACGCGAGGCUUCGCCGUGCGCGAAGAAACCAGUGACGGGGCUCAGCGCUCCGCUGGGCGGAUGGGAGGCCGACGGGUCAGAGGGCGCUGCACACGUCAGACCCAGCAGGAGCUGGGGUCACUCCUGCCCCGAUGCCUGUUGGAACCAACAGGCCGCACACGUGGAAAACACCCGGCACCACUUACAGCAACUAUCAUCAUGGGCUGAUACUCAAUACUCCGUGAACAAAGUUCUGGAGCUCUUCAAGUCGGGACAAGCUCCCAGCCACAUUUUUCUCCCCGAUUCAGUAAACGAGAAAUUUCGGGCGUUUCACCGCGACAUCCAACAGGAAUGUGGCGCGGAGGACAAGCAGCACUCGUGGGCCGUCAUCGAGAAGCGGGAGGAGGUCAUCAUGUACGGGCCCUACUUCCCCAACUACAGCAGCGGAGAGCACAGCGAGGACACGGUCAUCGGACAGACGCAGGAGCUGCUGGAAUCGGGGGCGGCGUCGGACUGGAAGGUGUACGUGUUCACCGUGAACAGCCCCUGUUUGGCCCGGAGCACCGCCCCGUGCAUGCUGAACCUGGUGUACAAGGCUCUGGAGUGGCGGCACCUGUACGGCGUGAAGACCCACGUUGGUUAUGUGAGAUGCUGGGGCUUCAAAGGGAACAAAGAGACCGCGUUCCGUGACGUGACCUACCAGCAGGUGGAGCGGAUGACUCAGACGGAGGACUACGAGGGCUACGUGAACGCAGAAUGGACAGCGGACGUGAAUCCCCUGUGUGAAGGUUUAUACGCUGCAGCUAAACGCCUCCUGGGUUCUGGACACCUAGACUUCCCUUUGAGCGGCCCACAGGGCCAGGACUGGAGGAGCCACUUCAAAAGCGUGCACGGCAUCUUUGACGACGACCCGGAGGAGGAGAGGAAGGUGCUGACGCAGGAGGCGAACGCGCUGAUCGAAGCGGCCGGGGCUCGGCUUCCGGAGAGACCCGCGCGUCUGGGGGAAUACCUAGAGAUCGGGAAGGAGUUCGCCCUCAGCGGUGCUUUCGGCCCAAACGUACCGGAGCCCCUCCGGGAUCAGAUGAGAGUCGCCUUCCAGCGGUGCUGGCGGGAGAUGGUGCAGGACAAGUAUGCGGAGUUCAUCAGGGAGAGGCUGACUGAGGACUUCAACCGCUGCACGGUUGAGCUUUUUAUCAAGGAGAUUGUGGAGUUCACAAAAGAAUACCUCGAGAUAGGAAAGAUCCAGUUCUCAGAGAAUGAUCUAAAAGUUGUUACAAACAACCUGAGUGAUGCUGAAUAA
ensembl:lncRNA uncharacterized LOC114850049